rnacentral:rRNA from 1 species
UACGUAGGGGGCUAGCGUUGUCCGGAAUCAUUGGGCGUAAAGAGCGUGUAGGCGGUCCGGUAAGUCCGCUGUGAAAGUCGGGGGCUCAACCCUCGAAUGCCGGUGGAUACUGUCGGGCUAGAGUGCGGAAGAGGCGAGUGGAAUUCCUGGUGUAGCGGUGAAAUGCGUAGAUAUCUGGAGGAACACCGGUGGCGAAGGCGGCAUCCUGGACCGAGAUUGACGCUGAGGCGCGAAAGCCAGGGGAGCAAACGGG